GGCUUGUUGGUCUAAUGGUAUGAUUCUUGUUUAGGGUGCAAGAGGUCCCAGGUUCAAAUCCUGGACGAGCCC
rnacentral:tRNA from 1 species